rnacentral:rRNA from 1 species
GCUAACUCUGUGCCAGCAGCCGCGGUAAGACAGAGGGUGCAAACGUUGUUCGGAAUUACUGGGCGUAAAGCGCGUGUAGGCGGCUUGGCAAGUCGGGUGUGAAAGCCCUGGGCUCAACCUAGGAAGUGCACUCGAAACUGCCUCGCUUGAGUGUCGGAGAGGGUAGUGGAAUUCUCGGUGUAGAGGUGAAAUUCGUAGAUAUCGAGAGGAACACCGGUGGCGAAGGCGGCUACCUGGACGACUACUGACGCUGAGACGCGAAAGCGUGGGGAGCAAACAGGAUUAGAUACCCUUGUAGUC